CACGUAGGGUGCGAGCGUUGUCCGGAAUUAUUGGGCGUAAAGAGCUCGUAGGCGGUGUGUCGCGUCGGCCGUGAAACCUGCAGCUUAACUGUGGCUUGCGGUCGAUACGGGCAUCACUGGAGUUCGGCAGGGAGACUGGAAUUCCUGGUGUAGCGGUGAAAUGCGCAGAUAUCAGGAGGAACACCGGUGGCGAAGGCGGGUCUCUGGGCCGAACACUCACGCUGAGGAGCGAAAGCGUGGGGAGCGAACAGG
rnacentral:rRNA from 1 species